rnacentral:rRNA from 1 species
UACCGGCGGCUCGAGUGGUGGCCACUAUUACUGGGCUUAAAGCGUUCGUAGCUGGCCUGUUAAGUCUCUGGGGAAAUCUUCCGGCUUAACCGGAAGGCGAUUCAGGGAUACUGGCAGGCUAGGGACCGGUAGAGGUGAGGGGUACUCCAGGGGUAGGAGUGAAAUCCUGUAAUCCUUGGGGGACCACCUGUGGCGAAGGCGCCUCACCAGAACGGCUCCGACAGUGAGGAACGAAAGCUGGGGGA